rnacentral:lncRNA from 1 species
AACUGGUAAGACGAUGUCGUGUAGGAAUGAUUCUUGUUCUUGAUCUCCACUUUCUUGGACAUGUGCAGAUCAAGAGUUUUCCUAUUUGUUAACCCUAAAAAAUUUGGAACUGUAGGGGAGUGGCAUAAUAUAAGUUAGCACUAACAAUGAGAUGGGCACCUAUUGUUGAAACAGUGCUUCAAAUACCUUUAUCAGCACUUGUCGUUACCAAUUGACAUUAUAAGCUCAGUCUAGGUUGGCUUUAGCAUAAUUUACAUUAAAGAAAACUUCGAAUGCCCUUUGCAAUUUGGCACAUUUGCACGUCAAUAUCCUCAAGAUUCAUUUGCCGCAUUUAACUGCCCCAUGGUGAUUGUUUUGUUACACAGCAAAUUAAGACCUCGUGUAAGUUGUAGUAGCUUCAAAAUGGCACGUGAGUCAUGGCUCUGCUUUUUUCAUAUCACUCAACUUUGAGCUGGUCCAUGUGCAUUUCUAAUAUCACUGCUAAAGCUCUCCUAUGUCAUACAUAGGAUAGCAAGUGCAACAAAUGAAAAGAUAGGCUAAUCAACAUACAAAUGAGCUAAAUCAUGCGGGGCUGUUUGACGUUUUUCCAUUGUUUUGUGGUAUAACUAGGUUAUAACAAAUAGUAGAGCUAAUAUACAUUUACCUUAGCUUUACCUGUGCUGUUUACAACAAAUAUUGAUAGCUUGAGCUGGUUAGAAAAUAGCAAUGAAAUAUUACUUGAUUCUGAAAGUAGAAUUUCAAGUCGAUUACAAACUUAAGGGAAAUGCAACAGAUAUCUUUCAGAUUCGUCUAUGUUCCCAAAGGUUCAAAAUGUAAUUUUGUGUGAACAAAUCACCAUUAAAUUAAGCAGAAGCCUUAAAGUGUAUCACCUCAUGUCUUAAAAGAUCUGACAUGUUGUUAUCAGAAGAUUAUUAUGAAAAGUUUUGCAGUUUGCUGCAACAGACAGAAAACUAGGUAGCUUGGAAAAGUGAAGCAAUGUGUUGUUAGACCAAACCUUUUUCCAACUCAAUUAAGCAACGUUAGCAAGGCAUAAUUGACUGAUAGAACUCGAUCGGCAUACAUUAUGCUUAAGAUUUCUUUAUAAUUAACAUAGCAUUGAAUAUUUUGGCAAGUAAAUCUUUAGAAUAAUUAACAACUUAGGAUUUUUCUUUAUAAAAAAAGAAGGUUAGCUUUACGUUCAUCACUGGUGAAGGACCGCGCGAUGUAGUGUUUUAUGAAAUUUUUAUAUAUAGCAGUAAGAUUUAGUUGGUUUUUCUAUAUUACUUUCACUAUGUUUCCCUAUUCUGUUGUAUUAUGCACCCUGCUGCUAUUCUAACCUUUUAAUCCAUCUUGCUUGCUUGUCCUUCCCAUCUUUAUUUUGUAGAGUGGUAGGUUUGAAUGGUUAUAAUUGUCAAAAUUAGAUCCAAAUUGUGUUUUAUGAUGUUACUUCAUGCCUUUCCUGAAAAGAACGGUUAAUUGAUAUCAGUAACCCUGGCUUGUAGUAAAAACGUUUGCUCUUCUAACUAGUUGAUCCUCUCUCUCUCUCUCUCUCUCUCUCUCUCUCUCUCUCUCUCUCUCUCUCUCCUUUAGAAGAAAUGGUUUUAACGUCUACAUAGGUGCAAGGUGUGAAAAUUGUUUAUUUCUACCAUUUAGAGCUCCUGACCAAAAAAAAAAAAAGAACCCUCUAAACUCGACUCUUCUAUCUUAUUUUGUCCUGUGACUUCAGGCUGCAUACCAUCUCAAGAUUGUGAGCCUCCGGGACCUCGUCUGCCAAAAAGUGGCUGAUAUGAUGAAGGGAAAGAGCAUCGACGAAAUCCGGACCACCUUCAAUAUCCCGAACGAGUAUACCGCUGAGGAGAUGGCAAAAAUCACGAAGAAGUACCCGUGGAUUUUUGACCAACAGCUUGACGAUGAGAAAGGGAUAAGUGUGGAGAAGGACAAAAACAUCGAGAAUGAGGGGACGAGUAAGGGGAAGCACAAACGCACCGCUGAUGAGCUUGGGAGUGUAGAGAAGGACAACCACAUUGAGAAUAAGAAGGGGACAAAUAGGGAGGAGGAGAUCCACGUCGAGAGUAAGGAGGGGGCGAGUACAGGGAAGGACAAACAGAUUGAGGACAAGGAGGAGCGAGAGGGAGCACGGAGAAGGAGACAUUCAGAAUAAGGAGGGGGUGAGUCUGGAGAAAGACAAACCCAUUGAGAACAAGGAGAAUGGAGGAAGUUUGCAGGGGAUAAAGGAAUGAACAAGGGAAGCAAUGUAACGCAAGGUGAUGCAUCAAAGCAUUUCAGAGUCGUUUUAUUGGCCUUCAUGUACCUGUGAAUAGGGUCAGUAGCUAACACCGUAAGAGGAUUAUUACACAGCGAACUUACUCAAGAUGCCGGGCUUGUAGAGAUCUAACAACACAUCAUUCAAUUUGGAGCACUGAAAUGAUUUCCACUUGCUUGGUUUUUUUCCACAAUUUUCAUGAAAAAAGUUUGAAAAAUAGCAAAUUUGUGUCUCCUCGGUGUGUGAUGCGCAUCUGAAGCAAAUGUUUGUUCUGUGCAGAUUUAGGAAUUGUGUGAAUAUUUGUAGUAUUUUCUUUCUUUGUGUUUUUUCUCUUUUUAGAUCUGUCACACCUCGAGACUGUUAAUUGCGCCCGUUUGGGAAUGUGUAAUAGACCGGCUGAAAGAGUAGAAUUUUUCCUAUCCGCUCGAAGAGAAAUCACAUACUAGUUUGUACAGUGAGUACAGUGACAUGCAUGAUAUGGAUACAAUAUAGAAUCAGAAUGAAUACUAAUAAACUAAAGAAAACACAUGCAACUUUAAACUUAAAGUAAUAAUAAAUAAUAUCAUCCCCAAAAUAUUUUUUUUGAUUUUUUUUGUUUACAAUAAGGGUAAAACUAGACCUCUCUAAAACCUCUGUUUCGCACCUCACCGGUGACCAUAGGCUCUGAAAAAGGGUAAGCAACAAAGAGAUAAGAAUUUCAGUUGAGUUUUCGGUGGGUGUAACCGUCAAAAGUAACGCUCUACACCCACUCGGUCCAAAAGACGCAUUAAUAGAUAAUAACGAUAAAUCACAUAUAUUUCAACAAUAAAAAUGCAAUAAUUGAAUUAUAACAAUAUUGUCUCAAUUAUACAAAAGAUGCUACUAUCAUUGGUCACAAAUUUAUCCCGUUUACUUUAUGGGUGUGUUUGCUUCGAAGUCGAGAUUGGAAUCAGAAUCAAAAUGGAAAUAAGCUGGAAUCAAAAUCUAAAUGAUUUAUUACCCCAUUAUAUUUGGUUCGCCACCUGAAUCGGAAUCGGAAUCGGAAUAAAUCAUUUCCAUUUUCAUUAUAUGGUUCGGGCAGAUAGCAUAAACGGAAUCAAAUUAAUGUACAAAAUUUAUCCUUAUAAUACAUUUUAAUUAUUUUUAAGCCUUUUGAAUACUCUAUUUAUAAUUAUAAUAUAAAUGAACAACUUCAAAAUAAUUAAUGAAAAGUCAGAUAAUUGUACAUUUUAUAUUAUUUAAUAUGAAAAUAAACUAUUUAUUAUUAUUUUUUAUUGUAAUAAUUAUAUGGUAAUAUACAUGAAUCGCAAAAUUUUAGAUGAUUCUAAGAAAUAGAAUAGUUAACAAAAUAUAAUUAUUUCCUCAAAAAAAAAAAGUGAAAGAGAAGUCAUAUUUUCAAAACCAAUAUUAUAGCAAACUAAAAUUACUAGUAAUAAUAUAAAAUUACCCAAAAUAAUAUAUUAUUAUUCCAAACAGUCUAAAAAAUAAUUGUCGUUUAAAUUUUAAAUAAAUCUUGCAUUUCAGCACUUCCUCUACCAAUUUUGAUAUUUUUUUUCCCAAUGUUUCAUGCUCAUGCCAUAUUAUAUUGGCCAUAAUAGCAAGCCGUGAACUCAUAUAUGACAUAACUUCUCUUACACUUUUACUAAAAUCUGUAAGUUAUUCUUUUAUUUCAUUCCCUUCCUUAACUUCAGUUGUGUCAGGGGUUCUCAAUUUUUUUCUUCAUUUUUUAAUACUUUUUGGAGUUUAUCUUUCUCUUAUUUCAUAAUGUGUAAAGGACAUAUCAAAUUCUUCUUCUUCGUCAUUCCAGUUCACGGCUUGAUCAUUUGGUGAUUGAAUUAAUUCCUCUCGUUCCAUAUUUUACACAGCCUCUGUAAAGGUCUCGACUCUUUCUCCCGUUGCCUUGUCUUUACCAUAAAUUUCAAAAAGUGCAUCCAAGUGGGACAAAGGAACUCCCCACAAUCCUUUUGCCUCAGUAUGCAAUUAUCAAAGAAUAAUAAGAAAGUGAUGCCUCAGUAUGCAAUUAUCAAAGAAUAAUAAGGAAGUGAGAGAAGGUGAGAGCAGGCGGUGAGAGCGGGAGAGAGCAGGCGAAGCUAGUUAAUUAGUGCUCCUCUGCUCUUAUUCUUUCACUUUUAUAUGAUUCUAAUGGACGCGAGAAUGGGCGGAGCGGGCGGUGAGUCAGAGAUCCACGCAGCAGCGCGACCUGGCGAUCUCUGCACAGUGGAGUCCCUUCACAACUCCCGUGACCGCCACUCUCGUACCCCAGAAAAGAAAAAAUCAUUGAAAGUAGAGGAGGGUUGGUGGGGAGCGAGGGGCUAGAGGAAAGCUUGCUAGAGAAGGAUCCUCUUCCUUCGCAGGGAGAGCGCAUUUUCCAUUUGCCAAAGGGAGGGCAUCUCAGGGAAAAAGGGGAGCUCCGCUGGGGUCUUGGUUUGAUGCAGCAACCUGGAGUCCAAAAAGUCCAAGUGUCACUUUGUUGUUGCUAGUACUAAUAAAGUCAAAUCCAACCAUGGAGUAAAAGUGGACUUGACAGCUCAGAAGAAUUCUUGUUGGCCUGGGAAAGGAGCUGGUUCCAGCCACCCAAUUCAUCCUUAGGCUUCUAAACCUAGGACUGCCUGGCAGUCUGAGGUGCUUGCCACAUUUACUACGCUACAUGAGGUCGGUGCUUUAAGGUGUCUAGCUAGGGACCACAAAGCAGCAUUUUGUCAAGACCCAUACAAGUGCAUUUGGUGUCUCAAGGCAUUCGGUGUCUCAAGGUGGGACGUACCUCGAAAUCGUGCAAAGAAGGCUCAUCAAGGUCUAACCAGAUAAUGAAAAGAGGACGGGUGAUCUAUGGCCAACGUCCGUCGUUGCCUUUUUUUGUUCCUUACUCGACUAAGUACUUCCAAUGGCGGGAUCAACGGUGUAAUGCUGUCCGUGCUAACAUCCUGUGCCUGGCUAACCUGGGACACUUUCCUUUGGAGAUGAUCACAACUGGUCUGGCAAGGCGAUUUGGCGGUUACCUAUUUGACUUCCAUGUCGCCUUCUAUCAAGAAUAGGACUUUGUCAAUUUUUUGCUAGAAUAGGUGCAAGCUGAGGGGCUCAUUUAUAGGGAAGAUGUUCAUAUCAAUUGCUGUUAUUUACGCUGUUACGAUUGUAACCCUUUUUGGGCGGUUGCUUGGCACGGCCUACAGUUCAAGGCUUGGAUUAGGAUCGUUGCUUUGCCCUACGCUUGCUAGUUUUCUAUGCGGGUGGCCUCGUAGUCUGCGGGUUUGGGAGGUUCCUCAAAGCUAAUGAAACUAGCAAAAAGAAUGACUGAUCUUAAUGGUUACAAAUGCCCUGUCGCCAUCGAGAAUCUCAGGGAUAUUCUAGAGUCGGUGGAGCUGACUUUUGGGGGAUAUUCGCAUCUCCGUUGUGAUUCAAGUUCUUGACUGGAUUAAUGUAGAGCAGCAGCAGCUUGCUCAGCCUACCAAACCCCCCGUCCUCCACGAGACCACUCGAUGGUGGGCCGGACCCACACAAUCCAUUUGGUCGUUGGAAUGGCGGACAAAGCUCACACGGGGGCAGGGGCGAUGAGGAGGAGUCGAUUUUUGCUAGAGAAGGGACCCGGGCCUCAUCAGAGAUUCGUGACAAGAGAAGAAGCUUGGUGCCGGAUUUCGCUAGAGAGCGGCAUGACUCCUCUUCGAUGUCGCAGCCUUCGGGCACCUCGAUAUCCCGCAUUCCUUUCUCAUUGGUGCUCCUCCUGUGGUGACGCAGGUUUCAAGAUCUGACUACUUUUUGUUUGCUAGGAAUGGCAAGGGGAGUAAGGUCACCAGAGAAAGUUUUGAGAAAGCUGAUACAGGAAAAGAAAUUGUCAUUUUUCAUCAUAGGGAUUUUGUCAAAGCCUUACCACUUAAAGAAGUUGAGCGAGAUGUAGGUGCCGGGUCACUACAAGACAAGGGGAGGAUUCCCAUGCAAAGGUUGACUUGGUUCUGAAGACUGGGACAGAUGGUAAAGAAGUUGGGUCACCUCUUCUCUUUUGGGUCCACAGGCCUAGCCUUGUUUCCUCAACCUUGAGCUCUUAGUUAUUGGUUUUUUCCAAAUGUGGACUUCAGAUGGGCCUUCUUUUUGGCGACCUCAGCCUUCUACAUGCAAGGGAUGUUAAUCCAGGAUUGGGAAUUAGAGCCUUUGUUCGUAUUAUACCACACCUUCAUCCCAGAUCACCUUUUCUCUUCACAUCAUGCGACGGAAGCUUACCACUGAUGGUUUCACUGUUGAGCGCUUCUCUUCUUCCAUCAACAGAUUGGAGCUUAGGAGACGGUUCUUCACUCGAUAGUCUUGCUCUUGAUGACCUACAAGACUCCUCCAAUGAUUGCAACUUGGGCGACUCGAUUCCCUCUCUACUCAAGCCUGUUAGUUGCGGCCGGUCCGUUGAGACCCCUAGAAGGUUCAGGCCACAUAUUGCGAAGUAUCCGCUCAAACAUUUUCUUCUUAAAGCAAUUGCUAGGAAGAUGCUACUCAAAGACAGCCAAGUUAAUGCUAACGCGAUUAUUACCUCGCAUUAAGAGGACUUGAAGAUCAUAGCUAAGGGCACUCAGUGCAGCGUCGCUCUGGAAAGCGAUGAAGUUAAGCGCUUCAAGAUGUUUGAGUCUGCUUCGGUCUAGUGUCUUGUGCUUCAAUCAUUUUUUUUUUUGUUACCGUUGUCACCUCUCGUUUAACUAUGUUUCACGUUCUUAGCUGAAAUGUCAGGGAUCUAAAUAAUAGCACCAAGAGAGGCCCUGCUAGGAGUGUCGUGUCUAAGCCUCAUCAGUCUAUUGUUUGUUUUCAAGAAUCUAAGAUCAAAAAUGUUUAGCACUUGUUCCGUCGUUUAGUGGUUGGCUCAUUCUUCGAUAAAUACUACUCUAUUCCUUUUUCCCAGGGCUCAAGAGGGCUUAUAACAUGCUGGAACUCCAAAAAUUCAAGUGCUCUGAAGUUUUAAUACGUCCUUUUUCACUCACCACUCACCUUACGCACUCGAUUAGUGGCAUAACCUUUUACUUGACAAAUGUCUACGGCUUGCCAACUUGGAAUGGUAGGGAGGAUUUCUGUAACGAAUUUGUCUCGCUUAAACAUACUUGCUUGGGUUCAUGGGUAAUUUGUGGGAACUUUAAUUUCACUCAAAGUCAAGCAGAGAGAAAAGAUAGAAAGUGGAGCACUAAAGCUAUGACUAUAUUCUCUGAUCUCAUAACCAGCCUUGAUACGAUUGACAUCCCAAUUGGUUAUCAAGCCUUCACCUGGUGGAACCUACAAAAGUCCCUACCCUAGCAAAGCUUGACCGUUUUUUGGUGUCAACUGAUUGGAACUCUAUGAUAUUCCCUCUCUCUAGCGUGAAAGCUCUUCCUAGGAUGAUUUUGGAUCACUCCCUGAUUCUACUCUCCACCAGUAGUGUUAAGAAGAAUCGACCCAUGUUCAAGUUUGAGGAUGUCUAGCUUUCAAGAGAGGAUUUAUGAGCUUUGGUACCUGUAUCCUAACUUUCAUGGCUAAAUUAAGGCAGUGUCGAAAAAGGAUGAAUGAGUGGUGUGCCAUGAGUUUCUAUAACAUUGUGAAUACUAAAAAAGAAUACUAAAAAAAAAAAAAAGGAAAUCGCUCUCACGUCUUUGCAACAGGCUAGAAGAACUUUGCUCAAGCAACAACUAGCUAGUAUUAUUAUGGAUGAAGAAAUUCUAUGGAAGGUUCGAGCCAAACAAACGUGGUUGAAGGAAGGUGAUGGCAAUACUAAAUUCUUUCAUUCGGUGGCUAACGGGAGGAAAAGAUUGAACUAUAUUGUCAGUAUUGAGAUUGAGGGUCUGACCCUGCACAAAGAUGAUCAAAUUAGAGAGUAUUUUUUUAACAAAUUUUGGGAUGUCUUCGCUCCGGAUGGCGACAGUAACCCCAUAAUAGGGGAUUGGAGCUGUCUCUUUCAUGAGCAAACUAUACCUUUUCCGGAUCAGCUACCCUUCUCCGCUGACGAGAUCAAAUUAGCUACUUUUCAAUUAGAAGGUGAUAAGGCACUAGGACCAUAUGGUUUCCACAUGGUGUUCUUUCAUAUCUUCUGGGAGACGGUAAAGGAAGACAUUUUCAAUGUCUUUUGGGACCUUUAUAACGGCAAUCUUUGCACAGGACCCAUCGGUUACUCCUACAUUUGCCUNUUCUGGGAGACGGUAAAGGAAGACAUUUUCAAUGUCUUUUGGGACCUUUAUAACGGCAAUCUUUGCACAGGACCCAUCGGUUACUCCUACAUUUGCCUGAUUUUCAAAAAAGAAGAGGCAAAGAAAGUAUAGGAUUACUGUUUAAUUAGUCUGAUCAAUGGGCUCCAAAAGAUUAUCUCUGAAAUUCUAGCCAACAGGCUACAUACCACUCUUAACAUGACCAUUACUCCCUCUCAAUCUGCUUUCUUGAAAGGUCCUCAAAUAUUAGACUCCUACAUGAUGGCAAGAGAGCUAGUUAAUUGGUACUCCAAGUUUGGAGUAGAAGGGGUCAGCAUCAAAGUAGAUUUUAAGAAAGCCUUCGACAGUGUAAGCUGGGUUCUUCUUCGAAAAAUCUUGACUUGGAUGGGGGUAAAUUACAAAUAGUGCAACUGGGUCGAACAAUGUACCUCUAAUACUAAAGUCAUGAUCUUAGUCAACGGACUCCUACCAGUUGGAUCAAAAUGAAGAGAGGUCUGUGUCAAGGCUACCCACUUUUCCCCUACCUCUUUCUCGCAAUCUCCAAGGGACUUGCAAGAAUGAUUGACAAAGCCGUGGUCAACAACCUUUUUAGUGCCUACGACCAUCUGAGAGUUGGAGGACUGAACUAAUCCAGUACGCCGACGAUACGAUUUUCUUCUGCGAGGCCAGUCAUAGGCAAAUAAGGAACCUCCAAUUUAUCUUGCAGUUGUUUGAGUAGGCUUCAAGCCUAAAGAUCAACAAGAAUAAGUCUGAGCUUCUCUACUUUGGAGGCUACAACCACCAAGGUGAUAGAUUAGCUUCCAUUUUGGGUAGUAGAAGAGGUAGCCUCCCUAUGCACUACCUAGGGUUACUGCUCUUUGAGAGAAGAUUAAAGAAAGAGGAUUGGUUGCCAGUUCUUAACAAAAUCGAGAGAAAACUAGGUGACUGGCAUGUAACACACUGGACUUUUGCAAAUUGCAAGGUUCAAGUGUUUGGGUUUGGUGUUUCGAGCUUUUCCCACUCUUGGUGGAGGGUCGUUGAUUGUAUUUCGACCAAAAAGUUCGAAAUCUGAAUUUCUGGACAAGUCCUGAGAUUUUUACUCUCGGGGACCGGUCCCUGGUGGGAGAGACCGGUCCCCCGCGGCGAGGCAACUGGUCCCCGGCUGGGGAGAUUGGUUACCGAGAGCUGGUUUUGCAGGAGGGUCCCGAGGGACUGGUCCCAGCUGGGAGAGACCGGUCCCUCUGGGCGAAAACUACCCAGUUCGGGCUGAUGCAUAGGAUGAAAAGUAGAGGGACUUUUCUGGAUUUUAUUACAAUAGAGAGCCUAUAUGGCCACUCCACCUUCUCUCUCCCUCAUUUCUCUUCUCUUAACUUUCCCUACACCUUAGAUAGAGAAGGAGAAGAAGAAGGAGACGGAGAAGAAGGAAGGAAGGAGAAGAAAAAGACCAACUAGAGGACUUGGAGCAUCUUUCUCUCCCUCUCUUCUUCCCUUAGGUGCUUGGAAGCUUGGACUUGGAACUUGUUAAAGAGGAGAUCUUCACUCGUUGAGCUUGGAUUGGAGCUUCUAAAAAGGUUAGUUGCUUGUUUUUUCCCUCUAGACCUAGUUUUGGUCGAUUUUGGGAGAUGAAACCCUAGAUUUGGAUUUUAGGAUUUAUUUUUGGGGCUUUUUGUUUGGAUGCUUUUGGGGCUAAUCUAAUGGGAUUAGAACAUUGGUUUAGAUUGCUUUGGAAGGGAUUUGACAUCCAUUUGAGCUUUGAAGAGGGACUUCUUCACUAUAGGUGAGAUUUUGGCCAUUUUGUCUAGUUGGUUAAUGUUUGAGCUAGUAGUUGUUCGUUUACUUCUUGUAACUCACUUUUUGAUGCUUCUAGGGUGCUAGGAGCUUAGUGGACAUCUUCGUUGGGGCAAACAAAAGGUCGUGCGCUGUUCGGUGGGUUUGACCUAGCCUACAAUAUGAGAAAUGCUCAUAUUUGGUGAUUUAUGCUUCGUAAAGUGAAAAUUCAUGCAUUUUCAUACUAAAUGUAUUUAUUGUGAAUUUUAGAACGCUUAACAUUCCUAUGUCAUGUAUAAUGAAUUUUCAGACCUCUAUGUAGUAGAGAGUUGCAUGUGAGGCUUAUACUAGCAUUUGGCAUUCUUAUGUUGGACUUGAGACCAUGUUUCUUAUAAUGAAAAUGAGCAUUGUUUAGUGCACUUAAACCUAUGCAUGUUAGAGACAUGAGAGAUAGCUAAUGCCAUAAAGAGGCAUUGAACUAAACUGUUAUGGAAAAAUUUGGAGCUAAUGUCAUAAAGCGGCAUUGAGCUUGGGUUAUGUGUGAACCAGGUGUUAAUGUCAUAAUUGGAACAAAGAAUAUGAAAUGUGCUUAACUUAUAGCAAUGCUUAAGUGUCAUAAAGAGGCACUAAGUAAGGUGAGUGUUGGGACAUCACAUUGAGACUUUGAUCUAGACCGAUGGGUUACUAGUGCAACUACCAUGUUAGAGACAUGAUGAUUGGAUACUUGAGCUAUUGACUACGCUUGUUUGCCAUUUGUGCUCAUUCGCACAUGCUUGUGAGGGUCGCUCCCUACAAGCCGGCACUUCGGAGUUGGCCUACGCGACUUGUAACAUAUCACAUCCCUCGUGAAUCGUGCGGAGUUUCGUCGAAAUGUGCGGAAUGCGGAGUGGAACAAGUUGGUAUGGGCCAGUAGUGUUUUGGAGCCUAUAUAUAGUGCAAAGGGACCCGAGAGAGUAAAAUUCCAAAAUCUGGCUAAGUCUUAGAUUUUGUGCUCUUGGGGACCGAUCCCUAAAUGAGAGACCGGUCCCCGUACGCGUAGCUUGCCAGGAAUCCUGAGGCAACCGGUCCCUGGCAGUGAGACCGGUCCCUGAGGAACCGGUCCCUGAAGGAGAGACCGGUCCCUCGCUGCGCAGCAAGCUAGAAAACUCGAAAAUUGGCUAAGUCCUGGAAAUCAGCCUUUCGGGAACCGGUCCCUGGUCGGGGAGACCGGUCCCCCACUGCGGGUUUUGCCCAGUAAGGGCUGAUUCGAAAAAUAGAAUGUUGGAGGGGCUUUGUUGCUAUUGUAGCAACAUGUAAUAUACCUAUCCCUUCUCCCCUUCACAGCCAUCUCUCCCAAACUCUCUCCCACUUCAUUUCUCUCUCUCUCUCUAGAACUCUUGCCCUAGAGCAAGGAACAGGUGGAGAAAAGCUUGGAGAGGGUGGUUUUGGAGGAUUUGGUGGAUCUAUAAGCUCUCCAACAAGAAAGAGCUUGCUAGAACUUGGGCCAAGGUGAGUUUAAGCAAGUAGAACUCUAGGGUUUGAAUUUUAACCCUAAGUUUUGGGAUCUUGAGUUUGUUUCAAGCUUAAGAAACCUUGUUGAGCAAAGAAACCAUGAAAUCCAUGGUUUUCUUGUAGAGCUCUCAUGGUGGAUCACUGGGGUUCAUGCUAGGUGCCCUAGGAAUGUGUGGAAUGGCUUUGUAAAAGUAUUAGAGAACUUCCUAGGUGAUUCUAAGGUAUCUUUUGCUUAGAGAUGAGAUCAAUCUAGGAGCAUUCUAUAUAGGGCAUUGUUAGAGCUCAAAUUUGGGGCUUUUGUCCUAGAAUUUUUCGGGGACGAGUUGACCUCGUAGAAAUCCAAUUGGGGGUGCCCUCGACCCGUGGAACAACUACGUUUAACGUUACGAAAAUGUUUAAGAGUAGUUCAUGUAUAAAGGGCCUAAUUUGGCACUAUUUUGACUGUAAGACGCGGACUCGGCGUUCAUAACGUUCGGGAGUCGCCAUAUUCUUCAUCUACUACCACUCAAGGUGGGGGGUGCACGCCGGAAUCAUCGGAUUCCCCUUUAUGUUUAUUUUCACCUUUGUUGAGCAUACUUGUAUAUAGAGUCAUUCAUGCAUAGUAGGGAUAUUUACAUGUGAUUAGUGGUUAGAAUUUCAAUAUUGUGCUUCUAACGUAGUUGAACAUAGUGAUUGAACAAGAACCAUAAUGGACAUGUAUGUAGAGCCCUAGAAGAUGUAUGAAUGCAAGACUUGGACCUUGAUUGUAGUAAACAAGGGUGACAAUGACAAUAGAGACAUGAUUGGCCUUGAAAAUGAUAUGGUUACACAAAGUUUGACAACAAUGACAUCGUGGCAAGAAUGACUUAGUACAUGACAUGAACAAUAGGUAAGAACCUAUCAAGACAUCGGCAUUAUGACUUGUGGCUAUGUAUCCUCAACUUGAGGAUUGGAUCGAGGCUCACGUGGACUUAGGCUUGAGGGAGGUCGCUCCUCCUCAAGCAGUGUACUUCGAAGUGUAGACACCAACGGGAAAGUACCCCGUCAAUGAUCCCUCGGGUGGUUGUGCUUAAAGCCUCCCCCGGUAGACGGGGGAUGGAAUGGUGAGCUAUUGGGGUUAACAAAGUUAACCGGUAAAAUUGGGUACAGAAAGACAAAGGAUAAAGAACAUGCAUGCAUGCAUACUAUAUAUAUUGUUGAUUACCAAUAUCCACUGACAUUCUUUUGCAGGCAUAGUAUUAGAUGCAUUAGUACUGGUUACUUUUCUUCCUUUGCCAUACUUAUGCCUGGAUAGACCUAGUGGGUAAGUCGGCGAGGUCGGAUGCCGAACCCACUGGAAACUUCGUUGUAGUUCUCACACCACUAACCCUACAGGUCCGGGCACGAGAGGGGCGGCGGAGGACCGUGGCAAGGAUUUAGCGCCGUAGAUAGCGGCCACCGGGACUAUUUCAUAUUUUGUAGUCAUUUUCCUUUUGGUUUACAUGUAUCAACUUCUUUUGUUGAUUUAGAAAGUUGUAAAGUUGAAAACAAAUAUGUAAUUUGGUGAAUGGCUAAAUGUAAAGAAUUAUGAAUGAAAGCAAAGAAAUGUGAUAGUUCAGUUUACUUUUAUUUGGUUCAAAUGUAAUCAAGUAUUNUUUUUGAUUCUUAUGCUCUCGAAAACCUCCCACAAUGCACUUUUACUCAUUUUAACGCCUUCGGCCAUUCCAAAGUGUACCAACCUCUCACUUUGGUCAACUUGACUAAAGUUCGAUAUUUAUUUUUCGAAUUUUCGGUAUAUUACAUUCUCCACCUCUUAAAAUAAUUUCGUCCGCGAAAUUACGCAUACCUUAACUCGUCGACUCAAACAAAUGCGGGUACUCCUUCCGCAUCGACUCCUCAAGCUCCCAAGUAGCUUCUCGCACAGCAUGGUUGCCCUAUUGGACUUUCACAUAUGGAAUUCUGCGACUCUGCAACUUCCUUUCUUCUCUAUCGAGGAUGCACACUGGGUACUCCUCAUAAGUCAUAUCUUCACGUAGCUCUACGGGUUCGUACUCCAAUACAUGUGUCGAAUUGCGAAUAUACUUUCGAAGAUUUGACACAUGACACACGUUGUGAACUCCCGCGAGUCUCGGUGGUAGUGCGAGCUUGUACGCUACUGCACCCACACGCUCUAGUAUCUCAAACGGUCCAACAUAACGGGGACUUAACUUCCCGCGGACCCCAAACGCUUGACUCCUCGCAUUGGUGACACUUUCAAAAAUACGCGGUCUCCAACCGCGAACUCUAAGUCCUUUCUUCACUUGUUGGCAUAGCUUUUCUGCCUUGAUUGCGCCGUCUCUAACCAUUACAUCCAGGCCAAGAGCCGUUCUCUCGUCCACGUCGCUCUAAUGAAUUGGAGAACAACACUUUCGUCCAUACAAUGCCUCAAAUGGCGCCAUCGCGAUGCUCUCUUGAUAACUGUUAUUAUAAGCGAACUCCGCCAUUGGCAAGAAAUCAUGCCAUCCUCCUUUGUAAUCUAGCACACACGCUCGAAGCAAGUUCUCAAGGAUUUGUAUCGUCGGCUCCGACUGACCAUCACUCUGAGGAUGAAACGUCGUACUAAAGUCGAGCCGUGUGCCUAGCGCGUCUUGCAAGCUCUUCCAGAAGUGGGAUGUGAACCUGGGGUCUCGAUCCGAUACAAUUGAUACCGGAACCCCAUGAANNNNNNNNNNNNNNNNNNNNNNNNNNNNNNNNNNNNNNNNNNNNNNNNNNNNNNNNNNNNNNNNNNNNNNNNNNNNNNNNNNNNNNNNNNNNNNNNNNNNNNNNNNNNNNNNNNNNNNNNNNNNNNNNNNNNNNNNNNNNNNNNNNNNNNNNNNNNNNNNNNNNNNNNNNNNNNNNNNNNNNNNNNNNNNNNNNNNNNNNNNNNNNNNNNNNNNNNNNNNNNNNNNNNNNNNNNNNNNNNNNNNNNNNNNNNNNNNNNNNNNNNNNNNNNNNNNNNNNNNNNNNNNNNNNNNNNNNNNNNNNNNNNNNNNNNNNNNNNNNNNNNNNNNNNNNNNAUGUAUGUAGAACCCUAGAAGAUGUAUGAAUGCAAGACUUGGACCUUGAUUGUAGUAAACAAGGGUGACAACGACAAUAGAGACUUGAUUGGCCUUGAAAAUGAUAUGGUUACACAAAGUUUGACAACAAUGACAUCGUGGCAAGAAUGACUUAGUACAUGACAUGAACAAUAGGUAAGAACCUAUCAAGACAUCGGCAUUAUGACUUGUGGCUAUGUAUCCUCAACUUGAGGAUUGGAUCGAGGCUCACGUGGACUUAGGCUUGAGGGAGGUCGCUCCUCCUCAAGCAGUGUACUUCGAAGUGUAGACACCAACGGGAAAGUACCCCGUCAAUGAUCCCUCGGGUGGUUGUGCUUAAAGCCUCCCCCGGUAGACGGGAGAUGGAAUGGUGAGCUAUUGGGGUUAACAAAGUUAACCGGUAAGAUUGGGUACAGAAAGACAAAGUAAAGAUAAAGAAUAUGCAUGCAUGCAUACUAUAUAUAUUGUUGAUUACCAAUAUCCACUGACAUUCUUUUGCAGGCAUAGUAUUAGAUGCAUUAGUACUGGUUACUUUUCUUCCUUUGCCAUACUUAUGCCUGGAUAGACCUAGUGGGUAAGUCGGCGAGGUCGGAUGCCGAACCCACUGGAAACUUCGUUGUAGUUCUCACACCACUAACCCUACAGGUCCGGGCACGAGAGGGGCGGCGGAGGACCGUGGCAAGGAUUUAGCGCCGUAGAUAGCGGCCACCGGGACUAUUUCAUAUUUUGUAGUCAUUUUCCUUUUGGUUUACAUGUAUCAACUUCUUUUGUUGAUUUAGAAAGUUGUAAAGUUGAAAACAAAUAUGUAAUUUGGUGAAUGGCUAAAUGUAAAGAAUUAUGAAUGAAAGCAAAGAAAUGUGAUAGUUCAGUUUACUUUUAUUUGGUUCAAAUGUAAUCAAGUAUUAUGUAUGGUUGAACAUAUUAGCUUAGAGCUUUCGCUUCAGUUGUUUCUUGCCUUCGUGCAAGCCUUGUAUAAAUGCUAAUCUCAUUGUUUGAUUGCUUUAUUAUACAUAUUUUAGAGCCUUGGGCGGACAGGGAAGGUUCUGUCCGUUCGGCGUCUGUUGACGUUACCCGAACCCGACCAAAUUUGCGGGGAUUGGGGCAUGACAGAUAUAAUGGUAUCAGAGCGAAGUGGAAAGCAAAAGUCUAGGAAUGACCUAGGAACCAUAGGUUUGGAGACCAUAGGGACUUAGGAGACGUUUAACGUGAACUUGGCUUAUACGAAAGCGAAUGAUUAGGUUAACGGUAACACUUCUCUAGAAGAAAGUAGAGAUGGAUUAGAA